UUGAACGCUGGCGGCAGGCCUAACACAUGCAAGUCGAACGGUAACAGGAAGCAGCUUGCUGCUUUGCUGACGAGUGGCGGACGGGUGAGUAAUGUCUGGGAAACUGCCUGAUGGAGGGGGAUAACUACUGGAAACGGUAGCUAAUACCGCAUAACGUCGCAAGACCAAAGAGGGGGACCUUCGGGCCUCUUGCCAUCGGAUGUGCCCAGAUGGGAUUAGCUAGUAGGUGGGGUAACGGCUCACCUAGGCGACGAUCCCUAGCUGGUCUGAGAGGAUGACCAGCCACACUGGAACUGAGACACGGUCCAGACUCCUACGGGAGGCAGCAGUGGGGAAUAUUGCACAAUGGGCGCAAGCCUGAUGCAGCCAUGCCGCGUGUAUGAAGAAGGCCUUCGGGUUGUAAAGUACUUUCAGCGGGGAGGAAGGGAGUAAAGUUAAUACCUUUGCUCAUUGACGUUACCCGCAGAGGAAGCACCGGCUAACUCCGUGCCAGCAGCCGCGGUAAUACGGAGGGUGCAAGCGUUAAUCGGAAUUACUGGGCGUAAAGCGCACGCAGGCGGUUUGUUAAGUCAGAUGUGAAAUCCCCGGGCUCAACCUGGGAACUGCAUCUGAUACUGGCAAGCUUGAGUCUCGUAGAGGGGGGUAGAAUUCCAGGUGUAGCGGUGAAAUGCGUAGAGAUCUGGAGGAAUACCGGUGGCGAAGGCGGCCCCCUGGACGAAGACUGACGCUCAGGUGCGAAAGCGUGGGGAGCAAACAGGAUUAGAUACCCUGGUAGUCCACGCCGUAAACGAUGUCGAUUUGGAGGUUGUGCCCUUGAGGCGUGGCUUCCGGAGCUAACGCGUUAAGUCGACCGCCUGGGGAGUACGGCCGCAAGGUUAAAACUCAAAUGAAUUGACGGGGGCCCGCACAAGCGGUGGAGCAUGUGGUUUAAUUCGAUGCAACGCGAAGAACCUUACCUGGUCUUGACAUCCACGGAAGUUUUCAGAGAUGAGAAUGUGCCUUCGGGAACCGUGAGACAGGUGCUGCAUGGCUGUCGUCAGCUCGUGUUGUGAAAUGUUGGGUUAAGUCCCGCAACGAGCGCAACCCUUAUCCUUUGUUGCCAGCGGUCCGGCCGGGAACUCAAAGGAGACUGCCAGUGAUAAACUGGAGGAAGGUGGGGAUGACGUCAAGUCAUCAUGGCCCUUACGACCAGGGCUACACACGUGCUACAAUGGCGCAUACAAAGAGAAGCGACCUCGCGAGAGCAAGCGGACCUCAUAAAGUGCGUCGUAGUCCGGAUUGGAGUCUGCAACUCGACUCCAUGAAGUCGGAAUCGCUAGUAAUCGUGGAUCAGAAUGCCACGGUGAAUACGUUCCCGGGCCUUGUACACACCGCCCGUCACACCAUGGGAGUGGGUUGCAAAAGAAGUAGGUAGCUUAACCUUCGGGAGGGCGCUUACCACUUUGUGAUUCAUGACUGGGGUG
rnacentral:rRNA from 1 species